rnacentral:pre_miRNA from 1 species
CUAGUACUCCCUCCAUCCUAAAAUUCUUGUCUUAGAUUUGUCUAAAUACGGAUGUAUCUAGUUACGUUUUAGUGUUAGAUACAUCCAUAUCUAGACAAAGCUAAGACAAGAAUUUUGGGACGGAGGGAGUAUUAU